GAUGAACGCUGGCGGCGUGCCUAAUACAUGCAAGUCGAACGAAACUUCUUUAUCACCGAGUGCUUGCACUCACCGAUAAAGAGUUGAGUGGCGAACGGGUGAGUAACACGUGGGCAACCUGCCCAAAAGAGGGGGAUAACACUUGGAAACAGGUGCUAAUACCGCAUAACCAUAGUUACCGCAUGGUAACUAUGUAAAAGGUGGCUAUACUACCGCUUUUGGAUGGGCCCGCGGCGCAUUAGCUAGUUGGUAGGGUAGAGGCUUACCAAGGCAAUGAUGCGUAGCCGAAUUGAGAGGUUGAUCGGCCACAUUGGGACUGAGACACGGCCCAAACUCCUACGGGAGGCAGCAGUAGGGAAUCUUCCACAAUGGGCGAAAGCCUGAUGGAGCAACGCCGCGUGGGUGAAGAAGGUCUUCGGAUCGUAAAACCCUGUUGUUAGAGAAGAAAGUGCGUGAGAGUAACUGUUCACGUUUCGACGGUAUCUAACCGGAAAGCCACGGCUAACUACGUG
rnacentral:rRNA from 1 species